CUCUGUCUCUUUCAGAGGAACUGCUUGUUUAAAGGAGGAAAUCUGGUGUCUGUUUGCAGUGUUGGGGAGGACCGAGCCAUCCACAGGUUUAUGUUUGGUGUCACCCACAGAUCAGGAAGAACCUGGAUCUGAGGUUCUGACCCAGCUCAGGAACAUGUGUGGCUCUGCAGUGAUGGGAAACCCAUGAGACACACCAACUGGUGCCCACAUGAACCUAAUAAUGACAGAAAGGAGCGUUGCUUGAAAAUGAAUCAUGCAGGCAGGAAGUGUUGGAACGACCUGCCCUGUGCCGUGUGUCGACCAUCUGUCUGCACCAAACAGAGAAGGUUCUGGAUCCGGAUCCAUGGUUGAACAAGAUGAAGCUUCAUACAGAACCAGGAGGUGAAGUUACUUAUUGCAUCUUUAAUAAAAAUGUAUAAAAAAUUCAACUCAGCUUUAACUCCUGCAAACUGAAC